AGUUUGAUCAUGGCUCAGGACGAACGCUGGCGGCGUGCCUAACACAUGCAAGUCGAACGGGGCCCGCAAGGGUUCAGUGGCGAACGGGUGCGUAACACGUGAAGAACUUGUCCAUCGGCGGGGGAUAGCCGGCCCAACGGCCGGGUAAUACCGCGUACGCCGGCGAGGGCGCAUGCCCAUGCCGGGAAAGCAGCAAUGCACCGAUGGAGAGCUUCGCGGCCUAUCAGCUUGUUGGCGGGGUAAUGGCCCACCAAGGCGACGACGGGUAGCUGGUCUGAGAGGAUGACCAGCCACAUUGGGACUGAGACACGGCCCAGACUCCUACGGGAGGCAGCAGUGGGGAAUAUUGCGCAAUGGGGGAAACCCUGACGCAGCGACGCCGCGUGUGGGAUGACGGCCUUCGGGUUGUAAACCACUGUCGGGAGGGACGAAGAUCUGACGGUACCUCCAAAGGAAGCACCGGCUAACUCUGUGCCAGCAGCCGCGGUAAUACAGAGGGUGCGAGCGUUGUCCGGAAUUACUGGGCGUAAAGGGCGCGUAGGCGGCCUGAUAAGUAGGGGGUGAA
rnacentral:rRNA from 1 species